rnacentral:misc_RNA from 1 species
GAAAUGCGAUAAGUAGUGUGAAUUGCAGAAUUCCGUGAAUCAUCGAAUCUUUGAACGCACAUUGCGCCUCCUGGUAGUCCGGGAGGCAUGCCUGUUCGAGCGUCACCAAAUCCAACUCAAGCGGUUUUGCGCUUGGUCGUGGCGGAAGAGUCGGUCUGGUUGCCGUCUCCCCUCCGAAAAUCAACGGCGGAAAGUCACUGGCAGUCAGCGUAGUAGUAUCGUUCGCCGAACAUCCAGUGGCAUUCCUGCCGACGUACCCCCACAAUUCUCGUGAUUGACCUCGGAUCAGGUAGGGAUACCCGCUGAACUUAA